rnacentral:rRNA from 1 species
GGAGCUUGCUCCCGGAUGUUAGCGGCGGACGGGUGAGUAACACGUGGGUAACCUGCCUGUAAGACUGGGAUAACUCCGGGAAACCGGAGCUAAUACCGGAUAGUUCCUUGAACCGCAUGGUUCAAGGAUGAAAGACGGUUUCGGCUGUCACUUACAGAUGGACCCGCGGCGCAUUAGCUAGUUGGUGAGGUAACGGCUCACCAAGGCGACGAUGCGUAGCCGACCUGAGAGGGUGAUCGGCCACACUGGGACUGAGACACGGCCCAGACUCCUACGGGAGGCAGCAGUAGGGAAUCUUCCGCAAUGGACGAAAGUCUGACGGAGCAACGCCGCGUGAGUGAUGAAGGUUUUCGGAUCGUAAAGCUCUGUUGUUAGGGAAGAACAAGUGCAAGAGUAACUGCUUGCACCUUGACGGUACCUAACCAGAAAGCCACGGCUAACUACGUGCCAGCAGCCGCGGUAAUACGUAGGUGGCAAGCGUUGUCCGGAAUUAUUGGGCGUAAAGGGCUCGCAGGCGGUUUCUUAAGUCUGAUGUGAAAGCCCCCGGCUCAACCGGGGAGGGUCAUUGGAAACUGGGAAACUUGAGUGCAGAAGAGGAGAGUGGAAUUCCACGUGUAGCGGUGAAAUGCGUAGAGAUGUGGAGGAACACCAGUGGCGAAGGCGACUCUCUGGUCUGUAACUGACGCUGAGGAGCGAAAGCGUGGGGAGCGAACAGGAUUAGAUACCCUGGUAGUCCACGCCGUAAACGAUGAGUGCUAAGUGUUAGGGGGUUUCCGCCCCUUAGUGCUGCAGCUAACGCAUUAAGCACUCCGCCUGGGGAGUACGGUCGCAAGACUGAAACUCAAAGGAAUUGACGGGGGCCCGCACAAGCGGUGGAGCAUGUGGUUUAAUUCGAAGCAACGCGAAGAACCUUACCAGGUCUUGACAUCCUCUGACAACCCUAGAGAUAGGGCUUUCCCUUCGGGGACAGAGUGACAGGUGGUGCAUGGUUGUCGUCAGCUCGUGUCGUGAGAUGUUGGGUUAAGUCCCGCAACGAGCGCAACCCUUGAUCUUAGUUGCCAGCAUUCAGUUGGGCACUCUAAGGUGACUGCCGGUGACAAACCGGAGGAAGGUGGGGAUGACGUCAAAUCAUCAUGCCCCUUAUGACCUGGGCUACACACGUGCUACAAUGGACAGAACAAAGGGCUGCGAGACCGCAA